rnacentral:rRNA from 1 species
CAAAUCGAUUUAGUUUGAAAUUAAAAAAUUAUUUUUUUUUUUUGUUAUUUUAAAUUAAUAGAAAUAAUUUUAAUUUUAAUUAGUUUUAGUAGAUUUUAUAGAAAAAAUUUAAGUUUAUAAUAGUUUAAUAGUAUUGUGAAAGAUAUUUGAAAUAAUAUUUUAAAUUGAAUAAAAGAAAAAUUAAUUAUUUGUACCUUGUGUAUCAGGGUUUAUUAAAUAAAUGUUAAUUAUUUUAAUUUUCUCGAAUUUAAGAGAGUUAAUAUUUUAUUUUUUUUAUCGUAGUAAAGAUAUUUAAAAUAAAUUAUUAGUAAUGAAAUGUUAAUCGUUCUUAAAAAUAUCUAGUUUAUUUAGAAAUGAAUUUAAUUCAUAAAUAUUAAUUUUAAUAAUUUGAUUUAUUAAUUUAUUAAUUUAAAUAUUUAAAUAAUUAAAGGGAUUAGCUUUUAAUUAAAAAUUUAUAAAUUAUUUUUUAUUUAUAGAAAAAGUGUAAGUUUAGAAAUAGCUAUCAAUAGUAAUUUGUUGUAAUUAAUUUUUUUUAGUAAAUAAUAUUUUAAAUAAUUUUAAAUUUUUUAUAAAUAUAUAGUUUUUAAUUAUAUAAAUUUAGAAAUAAUGAUAAAAUUAGUAUAUUAAAAUUAUAUUAAAUAAAAAUAAUAUAAAAGAUUAUUUAAAGGAAUUCGGCAAAUAUUUUGCUCGCCUGUUUAACAAAAACAUGUCCUUUUGAGAUUAAUUUAAGGUCUAACCUGCCCAAUGAAUUUAUUUUUAAUGGCCGCAGUAUUUUGACUGUGCAAAGGUAGCAUAAUCAUUAGUUUUUUAAUUGAAAGCUUGUAUGAAAGGUUGGACGAGGUAAAAUCUGUCUCUAUUUAAUUUAAAUUAGAAUUUUAUUUUUAAGUUAAAAAGCUUAAAUAAUUAUAAAAGACGAGAAGACCCUAUAGAUCUUUAUAUUUAUUUUAUUAAGAUUAAUUAAGAUUAUUUAAAAUUUUAUUUAUUAUAGAUAUUUUAUUGGGGUAAUAGAAAGAUUAAGUUAAUUCUUUUUUGUUUGUUACAUUGAUUUAUGAAUAUAUGAUCCAAUUUUAUUGAUUAUAAGAUUAAGUUACCUUAGGGAUAACAGCGUAAUUUUUUUAGAGAGUUCAUAUCGAUAAAAAAGUUUGCGACCUCGAUGUUGGAUUAAAGAUUAAUUUAGGUGUAGUUGUUUAAAUUUUUGGUCUGUUCGACCAUUAAAUCUUUACAUGAUCUGAGUUCAGACCGGUGUAAGCCAGGUCGGUUUCUAUCUUUAUAAAAAAAUAAUAUUUUAGUACGAAAGGACCAAAUAUUUAAUAUAUAAUAUUUUUAAUUUUGAAUAUUAAU